rnacentral:rRNA from 1 species
UUCCGGUUGAUCCCGCCGGAGGUCACCGCUAUUGGAGUUCGAUUAAGCCAUGCGAGUCGAGAGUCUUCGGGACUCGGCAGACUGCUCAGUAACACGUAGAUAAUCUGCCCUUGGGAGGGGAAUAACCUCGGGAAACUGAGAAUAAUACCCCAUAGGUCUAAGAUGCUGGAAUGCUUUUAGACUAAAAACUCAGGUGCCCAAGGAUGAGUCUGCGGCCUAUCAGGUAGUAGUGAGUGUAAUGGACUCACUAGCCGACGACGGGUACGGGCCUUGAGAGAGGUUGCCCGGAGAUGGAAUCUGAGACACGAUUCCAGGCCCUACGGGGCGCAGCAGGCGCGAAAACUUCACAAUGCGGGAAACCGCGAUGAGGGAACUCCAAGUGCUAAUACAAUGUAUUAGCUGUUUAAUAGCCUAAAAAGCUAUUAGAGUAAGGGCUGGGUAAGUCUGGUGCCAGCCGCCGCGGUAAUACCAGCAGCCCAAGCGGUGAUCGUUAUUAUUGGGCCUAAAGCGUCCGUAGCCGGUCUAGUAAAUCCUUGGAUAAAUCGUACAGCUUAACUGUACGGCUCCCGAGGAGACUGCUAGACUUGGGACUGGUCGAGAGGUCGGAGGUACUCCAGGGGUAGGGGUGAAAUCCUGUAAUCCUUGGGGGACCACCAGUGGCGAAAGCGUCCGACU